rnacentral:rRNA from 1 species
GUCCACACGGUAAACGAUGAAUACUCGCUGUUUGCGAUAUACAGCAAGCGGCCAAGCGAAAGCGUUAAGUAUUCCACCUGGGAGUACGCCGGCAACGGUGAAACUCAAAGGAAUUGACGGGGCCCGCACAAGCGGAGGAACAUGUGGUUUAAUUCGAUGAUACGCGAGGAACCUUACCCGGGCUUAAAUUGCAGAUGAAUUACGGUGAAAGCCGUAAAGCCGCAAGGCAUCUGUGAAGGUGCUGCAUGGUUGUCGU